UUUGUAUACUGCACCAGUGCAGGAUCUGAGAAUUGACUAGAGGACCUUGCUGAGCAUUUGGCUUCACCAUGUCUUCUAACGAGAAUGACAUUCAAGAUGCUCCCUCAAAGAGGGGAGCAGGAGCAACAGAACUUGCUGAGCAGAGUGGCCAGUCUGCCCUUGGUCAAUGCUGCUUAUGACAUGGUCUCCACCACUUGCACAUCCAUCAGAGACCCAUCCCGUCAUCAGAUCCAUCUGUGAUGUGGCAGAGACUGGAGUGAGGACCAUCACCUCUGCCAUGUCAGUGGGGCCCAGCCCAUCCUGGACCAGCAAGAGCCUCAGGAACUGUUAGUCUCAACAGCCCGUGACUACGCCUGCGAGAGCCUGAACAAACUGGAGGAGAAGCUGCCCGUCCUCCAACGGCCAGGUAAC